rnacentral:sRNA from 2 species
UAUGGCAGAAAAUGCGCGUUAAAUCUUCAUUAAGGGCCUUGCUUCUCCAAAAUUCCCCAGCAAGGGAAUCCAAGUCUGCUGCCGUGGCGAUAUGCUCAUACUGAGGGGUACCUUGGCUUGUUCUGUUUUGCUUGCUUUGCAUUGCUUUGCUUCCGGAUUUAUUCGCCCUCAUAUCACUUGUCAUGAUUAUUUUUGGGCGUAGUGUGGUGGUUUGUCCAAAGUAUAGAGCUUGGAUGACUAUAAUUGCUGACGGAUUGUGCUUUUUCUCUCGUAGAUAGAAAUUACCACAAGUAAACCAUGUUAUGGUUUAUCUCAACUUUGCAAUAUUCACUUUUAUAUG